ACUGAAGUCUUUUAAUGUGAAAACAUAAAACAAUCCGCCGAUUUCAGAAAGUCCAUGGUGAAUCUCUUCGCAAAAUGCGUGAACAGAACGGAAAUCGGGAGAGCUGUCUUUGUUUUCGCUUAUCUCUGUCAGCAAGGCGAUGACCGGCCCG
rnacentral:antisense_RNA from 1 species